UCAAAACAUUUACAGUGCCUUAAUGGUGAAAUAUUUAAUUUUCCUUUGAAUGAAUUCCAGGUGUUCCAUGCAUAUUUGGUGUUUUGACCUGUGAUGACAUGGAGCAGGCUCUCAAUCGAGCUGCUGGUAAGUCCGGAAAUAAAGGUGCUGAAGCAGCGCUGACAGCUAUUGAAAUGGCUUCUUUGUUUGAACACCAUCUGAAAUUUUAGGAAGCAGGUGCUGUCGACCAACAUUAGAGCUUUGUACUGUUGUAAUUCUUCUAUUCUGAAUCCUUCUCAGCAGGCAGAAUAGGAUUCCUUAUUCCAAAGAUUUUGUGUUGUAAUUCCCUGCAUGCAUUCAAUCGUGGGCUACAUUGGGUUACAUGGAAUAUUUGUUGGGAUUUUUGUAAACCUUAUAUAACAGUUUCUUCUAUA